rnacentral:rRNA from 1 species
AUUGAGCGCUGGCGGCAGGCCUAACACAUGCAAGUCGAGCGGAUGAAGGGAGCUUGCUCCUGGAUUCAGCGGCGGACGGGUGAGUAAUGCCUAGGAAUCUGCCUGGUAGUGGGGGAUAACGUCCGGAAACGGGCGCUAAUACCGCAUACGUCCUGAGGGAGAAAGUGGGGGAUCUUCGGACCUCACGCUAUCAGAUGAGCCUAGGUCGGAUUAGCUAGUUGGUGGGGUAAAGGCCUACCAAGGCGACGAUCCGUAACUGGUCUGAGAGGAUGAUCAGUCACACUGGAACUGAGACACGGUCCAGACUCCUACGGGAGGCAGCAGUGGGGAAUAUUGGACAAUGGGCGAAAGCCUGAUCCAGCCAUGCCGCGUGUGUGAAGAAGGUCUUCGGAUUGUAAAGCACUUUAAGUUGGGAGGAAGGGCAGUAAGUUAACACCUUGCUGUUUUGACGUUACCAACAGAAUAAGCACCGGCUAACUUCGUG